GAUGAACGCUGGCGGCGUGCCUAAUACAUGCGAGUCGAGCGAACAGACGAGGAGCUUGCUCCUCUGACGUUAGCGGCGAACGGGUGAGUAACACGUGGAUAACCUACCUAUAAGACUGGGAUAACUUCGGGAAACCGGAGCUAAUACCGGAUAAUAUAUUGAACCGCAUGGUUCAAUAGUGAAAGACGGUUUUGCUGUCACUUAUAGAUGGAUCCGCGCCGCAUUAGCUAGUUGGUAAGGUAACGGCUUACCAAGGCAACGAUGCGUAGCCGACCUGAGAGGGUGAUCGGCCACACUGGAACUGAGACACGGUCCAGACUCCUACGGGAGGCAGCAGUAGGGAAUCUUCCGCAAUGGGCGAAAGCCUGACGGAGCAACGCCGCGUGAGUGAUGAAGGUCUUCGGAUCGUAAAACUCUGUUAUUAGGGAAGAACAAAUGUGUAAGUAACUAUGCACGUCUUGACGGUACCUAAUCAGAAAGCCACGGCUAACUACGUG
rnacentral:rRNA from 1 species